rnacentral:lncRNA from 1 species
AACCUCACGUCUGGCGUCCCGGCACUUUGGGAAUGUCAACAUUUAUCAGCCUUGUUCACAUCUAGUCCUCCUCCAACAAAAUAGCAAGCAGCUCAUUGGAGAGCCACACAGUCACCAGGACAGAGAGAAUGCCCAGCAGCAGAAGCCAAAAAAAGAAACUUUCCCUUUCUGUCUCCUCUGUCUGUGGCGUGCAACCCAGCUAUGAGGACGUGGGGUUGAAGCCAUUUCCUUUUUCAGUUUCAGCUUCUGACCCUCCUCAGGAUUAGAAGUGGCGAUUCAGAGGCUGGGAGGGUGAAAGCAUGACUUCUCAAGAACCAGCUCGUGCUGAAGUCACUGCUCACCUUCCUGUCUCAGGGAUGCUCCUGAUGCUAAUGACGUCGUGUGAAUCAUGCUCUACGUGUCUGCAUGCCUGAGCCGAGCUUAUCCUCAUGGCACCCUGUGAGGCAGGCUGCUGCUCCUACUCCCACUCACCAGAAGAGGAAGCCGAGGCUCAGAGACUGAGUAACUCUUGAGGUUACACAGCCACCGAGCAGGGUCAUUAGGGCCCUAUGAGAUUUCCUUCCGACUCCGCUCUGAACUCACUCUCGUAGGCCCAAGCUGGGCGCCUCCCCCAGGGAACACCGUAGUGGCCCGGAAAACAGAGAGCACAGGUUACAUUUGGCUCACAUUCUUGGUGUGUCCACUGUAGGUUGCUGUGAAGUAAAUUUUAAAUUUUUAUAUAAAAACAAACAGAUAAUUUCUUGAGUGGGACAUAAAAGCAUGAAUUUGAAAGUUAAAAUGUAAGAUAUUGACCUUUUACUUAAUAAUAAUGUAACAAUAUUGCUUUAUUAACUGUGACAAAUGUACCAUUGUAAAAUAAGAUAAUCAUAAUGAAAACUGGGUGUGGAGUGUGCAGGAACUCUGUAUUAUCUUUGUAAUAAUAUGGUAAAUCUAAAAUUGUUCUAAAAUAAAAAUUUUUCUCUUUAAAAAAGUAA